rnacentral:snRNA from 1 species
GUAUUUACCUGACAGGAGACAUAACCAUGAUCCCUAAGGUGGUUUUUCAAGGCCAAGGCUUAUCCAUUGCAUUCUGGAUGCAAUGUGGGAAACUAGAUUGCAUAAUUUGUGGUAGUGGGGACA